CUAGUUUAAGUUGUAAAAAAAGGGGCUAAGGUUCACCAAUGUUCCCAACUGAAAAGUUUUAUUAAAACACAUGUUUUAGACAUUUUCGAAAUGUUUUGAAAAAACAUUAAGUAAACUUAGUCCACUAAUGCGAAGUCACCGAAAAUUUUUUCCUUACCGAUUAGUUUAAAAAACUUUUAUUACAAAAGUCAUCAAUGCAGAUUCUUCUCUGACUUUGUAUUAAGUUCAGCCAAAUUUUGUUAUGUGAGAUCAUCCUUUAGGUUAUUUCAGCUUGUGAACCGCCAUACACUACAGCUUUCUGCCUCCACUAAACACUGCCAUGGAGGUGGGAAUGGAGGCCUUGGAGGGAAAGCAGAAGGCGUGGAUUUGGCUUCUGGUCUGAUUUUGCUUCAAGAUUCAGAGAUGUAUAGGUUUAUCACGCUCUUGCUAAACUGAAUGACUUCAACCCUUGGUGUCCCGUUUCCUUGUUUUUUCAUGUUCCUUGAAGUCUUGCCUUGCUGUCUUCACCCCUGAAGAAGCAGUCACUUCCUCCAUCAAGCGACUGGCUUCAGGAGAGAAACACACACCUUGGGUCGCCCUGAGAGGGACUGAGGCGUUCUCAGACCGUUUCUGUGGCCACGUGUGCUCCACACUUCUUGUUCCUUCUUGGGAGGGAAUUCUUAAGGUUGUCUGCCUUCUCUGGAUGCUGCAGAGCCAGGCCGUGUGCUGGAAUUUCGCGGGUGUCUGGGAUUCCCACAAAGGUGCUCUUAUCCGCGGAUGAUGUUCAACAUCAGUGUUCGUUGGGGUUCAAGAUGAGUCAAGGCUCAAGCAGGCUUGAAGUCCUCCAACAGACAAGCCCUAAUGGACAAGGACAAGGAAACCACUACCCUAACUUCUGACUUCACAAACUAUUUUUGCCUGAUUUUCAACUUAGGCUGAAGGUUUCAAGACACACCUCAGGCAGCCCUACAGGAUCAGGCAAAGCAGCUAUGCCCAGCUCCAUAACAUAUUUUUGUUACUGGCUCUCCUUCCUUCCUUGCUUCACAUCCCUGUCCUUCCCUUCUGCUCCUGGUUCAUACUCUCCGGUAAACAGAGUACUCGCACUUGAGCCUUGACUGCGUCGCCAUAUCUUCUUCCUGGAAAACCCAGGCUAAGAUACUAGUCUCCUUGUACCUCUGAUUGAGUUUUCAUUUUGUCACAUUCUGAGAGAGAGAGAGUCCCAACCAAAAAAAU
rnacentral:lncRNA from 1 species